rnacentral:sRNA from 1 species
AGGUCCCGGCCGGUACAAAGUUCCAGACACACUAGGUGGACCUAAAUGGAAAAUGGGAACAAAAACGUCGAAUGUCAAACCUGUAGAUAUGCCAGGACCUGCGAAUUAUGGUUUCAAGUCUACCAUUGGAGAUGGACCCAAGUACCACAUUGGUCGAGUAGCUCCUGAGAAUCUUUCAAAGUUUAUAACACCAGGAGCAGACAUGUACAACAGGGCUGGGUUCAGACUGGACGAACCAGGGUUCACCUUGAAGUACAGAUGGUUCGAU